CUGCAUCUUUGAGCAGCUGUACAGUGUAGCAGAUAAAUAGUAAAUAAUGCUAUCUUCCUACAGUCUGUCUGUGGUUCGUUGUUAUGACAGUUGGGGAGUGGGAACUGUAAGUUAUGGUCGGUGGUCAUGAGUAGGCGAGUGAAACGAGAUAGUCUUAAAUUUAGGAAGAGGGACGAUGAAUAGCAUGCUUGUUACGGUUGCUAAUAAACACCUGUCUCAUUUAUAGUGAUCAAAUACUAUGUCGUCCGAUUCAUUUAGUGAGCAUGGGAAGUCAGCAACCGAGAUUAUACAACAGAUUAACGCAAAAAAUACAAAAAUACUUGCGUGUAUUCUCGUUAUUGGAUUCAUUGUGUAUCACGGUUUACUGCAUUGGAGAUACGGAAUUGAUUCCUGCAAGUGGCUUCUUUCUGAUGGUAGAUUUAAGGGUAACCAGGAGUGGCAGCCAUAUGGUUGCAUGAUGCACCAUUACAGUCAGACGGAUACAAGACGUUGUUUGAGAUAUUUAGCAUUCUGGGGUGAACAUAGCCAUUUUGUAUUUAUCGGUGAUUCUAGAAUUCGCCAGUUGUAUCUAGCAUUCUUGGAACAAGUUGAGCCACAAGAUUCUUCGCGGACAACUCUUCAUCCUGAACAAAUGCAUUCUGAUAUGGCUUUCACUGAUGCAAAGUUAAGACUGCGGGUGGAAUUUGUUUGGAGCACUUUUGUUUCUCAGAUCAUGGUAGAUGAAUUUCGCAAGUGGAAGAAUGAAGAUGAUCCACCAAAUGUGAUUGUUGCUGGCAAUGCCUUAUGGUCAAUUAGAGCAUCUAAUGCAUCUGUUCAGGCAUUAGAAGAGUAUAAAAAUAAUUUAACUUAUCUUGCACAGGCAAUAAACACACUCUCGGAUAAGACAAAGACUCAAGUUCUGUGGGUUCUCCAGGCACCUGUAAAUGCUGAGAAACUUCAGCCACAUAGAUCCAUGAUAACAAAUGAACAAAUUGAACUCUAUAACAAGGCCGCUUCUCAGAUUCUAUUACACAGCAGAGCCCUGCUUUGGUCCAGUACAAAACUUGUCGCACAAGGAAGUCCCGAUGAAACUACUGAUGGGAUUCAUCUUGGACCAACAGCUCUGAAAUAUGAUACUCAGAUGCUGCUGAACAUGUACUGCAACGAUCAUAUGAACUUCAAUGAUGGGAGCUGUUGCAGUAGUGCUGAGCCAUACACUACGCUGCAGGUUGUUACAUUUUCCGUUUUAGGUGUUUGUUUCAUUAUUGGUCUGGGAUUAAUGACACGUCGGUGGCUGCGUCAGUUGAAAAGUUCACCACCAGUUACUUACACUCCGCUAAAUGAACAGAGUGCAAAAGUUGCUGCCGCUGAAUCUGAUUUGUAUGUAAUAGUCACAUCACUUGCACGCAUGGGGAUUAUUAUGGCAUAUUUUUUUCUUUGUGACAGGACAAAUUUUUUUAUGAAGGAAAACAAAUAUUUCUCACAGCUAAGCUUUUGGCUCCCAUUUGGUUAUGUGUUUACACUGGGUUUGUUUUUCACAGAAGACAGCCAAUAUACUAAAGUUCUUCAUCGGGAUCAGACAGAUGAAUGGAAAGGAUGGAUGCAGUUGGUGAUACUUAUUUAUCACAUGACAGGUGCAAGUCGUAUAUUACCAAUAUAUAUGCACAUUCGUGUCCUUGUUUCUGCCUAUCUGUUUCUAUCUGGAUAUGGUCAUUUUUGUUACUUUUGGCAAAGAGGGGAUGCAGGAAUAGUACGCUUUUUCCAGGUACUGUUUCGACUCAACUUCAUGACUGUGAUGCUUUGUCUCUGUAUGAACAGGCCAUACCAAUUCUACUACUUUGUACCUUUAAUUUCAUUCUGGUUUCUAAUGGCUUAUUUGGUACUGGCUCUGCCACCCCAAAUAACAGCUGCUUCAUCUGAAACAAAUCCCCUUCAUUAUUUGUAUUUGGUUCUGAAGAUGGUGGGUCUUUUUACUGUUAUCACAGUACUCUAUAUGUCAGAGGUUUUCUUUGAAAAGGUAUUUGUUACGCGUCCGUGGAAAGCCUUAUUUGUUACAACAGAUGAUGAUAUUCAUGAAUGGUGGUUUCGUUGGAAGCUGGACCGAUACAGCAUAUCAUAUGGAAUGGUAUUUGCUGCAGCGUAUAUGCUGUCACAACGAUACAAUUUGUUGGAUGACAACAAUCACAGCAAUCUCUUCUCUCGGGGAAUAUCUCUGUCAGCAACUCUUGGUGCUGUAAUUGGACUUGGAAGUUAUGCUUGUUUCUCAUUUUUGUGUCGAAACAAGCAAGAAUGCAAUGAAAUACAUUCCUACACAGUGUUUGUGCCCAUUGUGAGCUACAUAGUGCUUCGUAACAUAUCUGGUGCUCUGCGCACUCGCUACUCAAGUUUGUUUGCUUGGUUUGGACGUAUUUCUUUGGAGCUGUUUAUUAGCCAGUAUCAUAUAUGGUUGGCAGCAGAUACACAUGGUGUGCUUGUACUUUUACCUGGAUAUCCUGUACUUAAUUUAAUCAUUACUUCAUUUAUCUUUGUAUGUGCGGCUCAUGAAGUGAAUGUAUUGACUCGUGUGUUGACACCCUAUGCUGUACCUGCCGACUGGCGUCUCGUAUUGCGAAAUGUGUUGCUCUUUCUUGCUGUGCUUGUUCCAAUAGGAAUUCAUGAUGGAAUGUUUUGAAUCUGUAUUUACUGUGUAAUUGAUGAAUAUUGUGAUAUUUCAGUAACUCUCAGGAAGACUGCUGUAUUUUUGUGUUCAUAAAUUUGUAUUAGAUAUCACAGAUUCUUUGUCUUGAUAAAAGUUCACUUGUGUGGAGGAGUGUAAAUAUGUUUAAAUAUGUUUUAAAAUUUCAUAUGAAAUUUAUCAUACACUAUCAAAUGGGCAGCUUUUACAAUAUCCUUACUGUUUUAACAUGUAAAAAUAAAAAUGGCAACAAAAAAGGAGGAUUGGAAGUGCUCCGUGAUAGUAGGAAAAUAUGAAAUUCCCUGCCAUUUCAUUGUUGUUAGGACCAUUAUUCUAUGUGAUAAUGUGGCUCAUCUUGUGUAAUUUGGUUCAGAGCAGUGUGAAUAUUUACCAAUUUUACAUAUGGGUUUAGUGUACUUAACAGCUUAGUCCUUAUCAUUGCCAGAUUGUAUAUGAUAAUAUUAUGAAAAGGAUAGAUUGCUACUCACCAUGUAGUGGAGGUGCUGAGUCACAGAUAGGCACAACAAAGACUGUCAAACAAGUAAACUUUCAGGUGAAAAGGCCUUCAUCAGAAUUAGACAAAACACACACACACACACACACACACACACACACACGAGCAUAGUGUCUGGCUGCGAAGGCCGUACUGUCUCCCCUUGGUAACCAGAGAUUGUGGUUUUUUUUUUGUGUGUGUGUGUGUGUGUGUGUGUGUGUGUGUGUGUGUGUGUGUGUGUGUGUGUGUAAUUCCAGUGAAGACCUUUUCAGACAAAAUCUUUCUUGUUUGACAGUCUUUUGUUGUGCCUACCUGCGACUCAGCAUCUCCGCUGCAUGGGAAGUAGCAAUCUAUCCUUUACAUAAUAUUAUCAUUAUUAACAUCUUGGGUUUUCCAUUGUUAGAUUAUACAAAUAUUGAAGUAGUUACUGAGACUACCUUGCUACACUGUGCUUCUUUUACUAAUUAAUUUGAAGUGUAAUUUUCUUACUCGGUGUGUGUUAUAUGCCUCUACUGUGAUUUUGUCAUGCAGUAUUUACAUUUAUUAUUUGCGUAGUACAUGCAAACACUUGUGAUAAUAGUGAAAUGAGAUACGCAAUUGCAGAAAUGUUAAAUGAACAAAGGUUAUGGAAGGGGGAAAAUGCACUUCUGAAUUGUUCAAAUUUAGAAAGAAUUUACAAAUUUGAAAACUGCUGUAAGCAAAAGUUCUUUUUAACAUUCUUUCACUUUCUGCAGUGCACAAUCGAGACUUGUAUACCUUAAAAAAAUCUUUCUACUCCUCUAUGUUGAAAUGUCUGAGCAGCAAAGUGUGACUCUGAACCUCAUGUUGUGUUGCCUUGCAAACGGUACAUACGUAGCGUAUUUUAUGAAGACACAAUACUAAUUUUUGUCUUCUCUUCAUUUUUGUAUUCACUUACUUGCAUUUAGAAUACUGAUUACCUUCACCAGUAUUGUCUCUGAAAGCUAGGCAGGAUCAGAAUAAGAGUUGCUCAACAUCUGCAAUAAUCAUUUCUGUAUAAUAAUCAGUUAUUCACUAAAAUAAGAACAUUUCAGUUGCAUGGAACUGUACGUAAAAGCUUUAAAUAAAGUUUCCUUUACAUGUUUCUGGAUAGCUAAAUCCAAGCAACAGAUUUUUCAACAUAUACAAACCAAUAACAUUAUGUAUAUAUGGGUGAAUAACUGCUUAUCUCAGUGUGCUGAAGAUGAAGUGGGACCAAAUGAAAUAAAUUUGACUAGAACGGUGAAAAUUUUCUAAUCAUUUGGAUGAAAGUUGACAGGAUUGCAACUGAUAAAGCAGAUUGUGUUUUAAAUAGAAAAUAAAGUAAAAUUUUCAGCUGUUCAAACACACUGAAUCUCAGACUCUCUUCUCAAGAGAGAACGACAUAACAAAAUAUUAAAUGAGUUAAAUAUGAUAGCAUAAAAGACUGCUGAAAGACUUGUAAGUUAAGAUACAUUUUCUUCUUUACCAAUUCUGAAUAAACAUCAGUUCUGAUCCUUUUUGCAUUGUGAUCAUCCUAUACAUUUGAGCUGGAUUCUGUUUUCACCACGAUUUAUUCCAUUGUGACAUACUCAUAGUAUACAGCAUUUUGUUAAAUUCAGUUUGAAAUGUAACAUACUCAUUAUUCGUAUGUAUUUGCUCAAGUUUGUUCAUCAUGUUGUUUCUGCAGUAUUUUCUUAUUUUGAUUCAUUAUUGCAUUUUUGGCUCUUCCUGCCUCCCUAAUUAUAAUUACAUUGGUUGUUAUAGUCCUUUACACACAUAAGAUACAAACACCCUUUUAUUUUUAUUGUCAGUUUUCAAAGUCAUUUCCUUCAUCAUUAUUGGUACUCCUUAUUCUGACAGCUGUCGAUUCAGUGUGUAUUUUAUGCUGAAAAGUUGUAUGUAUCCUGUAUUGGUUGCAUAACGCACCCCCGUGCAGUGUGUGUGUGUGUGUGUGUGUGUGUGUGUGUGUGUGUGUGUGUGUGUGUGUGUGUGUGUGUGUGUGUGUGUGUGUGUGAUAUUUAUUUUUCUGUACUAGUUAGCUCUGAAGAAGCACCUCAUCUGAAAGCUUGGCAAAGCAUGUUCAUAAAUCAGCCUUCAGCUCCUGCAGUACCGUGAAACUGAAAUUUUGUCAUUAUUAAAAUACAGUGGUUUGAGUAACAACUUUAUUUUUUGUAUCUUUUGUACAGUUUUCUAAAUUUUAUUUCAAAUUUAAAUAGUAAAGAAUAUCCUGA